UGUGCUUGAUAUUAACAAAGUCAACAUCCAUGUGAAGUAAGCUAAAGAUUCCCACUAAUUGACAAAUAAUUUGGCUCUUUUUUAGUUUUUUUUUCAUCAGAUCAAUGAUAAUUUACUUGAUCAUCUUGUUGAUGUAAACAUGAACUAUUUUCCAGUGGAGAUCACUUGCAAAGGUAACAAAAGCAUUAGGCAAAAUAUCCAAGAAGUAAAACGUAAACUAAAUAAAAAAAUAAAUGAAAAAUCUUUACUACUGUUGGCAAACAAGUUUGAGACACAGCCUCUUGUGAGCCAUUAUUUGCUACCAGCUCCUAAGAAAUUCUCUUGUAUAAGUUCGCCACUGUGACUACUGUCUACCACUCGAACUUCCACUGCCACCACUAUUAAGUCAAUGCAUCCUUCAGAAGUAGUGAGUCCUUUACCUCCUGGAGUAACUGAUGCAAUGUUCAAAACUUCCUUUAUAUACCUCACUUUCCAUUUUGCCACUCCUCUUAACACUGCACCAAAUACCCAAACAUUAGCUUUGAUCUCUUCAUAAAGUACCAAUCUGAGUUAAUCCCCGAAUCUAGCUUUACAUUUUCUUCAUCAAAAUAAAAACUUUAGCAAUGAUGAUUACAUUGUCA
rnacentral:lncRNA from 1 species